GGGCUGGUAGCUCAGUUGGUAGAGCAGCGGACUCUUAAUCCGCAGGUCGCGGGUUCGAGUCCCGCCCAGCCCA
rnacentral:tRNA from 1 species